CAUUCCUACGGGGGGCAGCAGUGGGGAAUAUUGCACAAUGGGGGGAACCCUGAUGCAGCGACGCCGCGUGAAGGAAGAAGUAUCUCGGUAUGUAAACUUCUAUCAGCAGGGAAGAAAGAGGACGGUACCUGACUAAGAAGCCCCGGCUAACUACGUGCCAGCAGCCGCGGUAAUACGUAGGGGGCAAGCGUUAUCCGGAUUUACUGGGUGUAAAGGGAGCGUAGACGGCAGCGCAAGUCUGGAGUGAAAUGCCGGGGCCCAACCCCGGAACUGCUUUGGAAACUGUGCAGCUGGAGUGCAGGAGG
rnacentral:rRNA from 1 species